GAGUACAGGAGAGGUAAGUGGAAUUCGCUAGUGUAGCGGUGAAAUGCGUAGAUAUUAGGAGGAACCACCAGUGGGGAAGGGGGGCUUACAUGGUCUGUAACUGACAUUGAGGCUCUGAAGGCGGGAGGGAGCAUUCAGGAUGUGAUACCGUGGUAGUAUAGCUAUGUAACACGAUCAAUGAUAGGGGUGGGGAAGCAUAAGCUUUUUCGGUGCCGCUGCAAACGCAAUAAGUAUUCCACCUGGGGAGUACGUUCGCAUGAAUGAACCUCAAAGGAAUUGACUGGGACCCGCACAAGCGCUGGAGCAUGUGGUUUAAUUCGAAGCAACGCGAAGAACCUUACCAAAUCUUGACAUCCCUCUGACCGGAUCGUAACGGAUCCUUUCUUUCGAGACAGAGGAGACAGGUGGUGCAUGGUUGUCGUCAGCUCGUGUCGUGAGAUGUUGGGUUAAGUCCCGCAACGAGCGCAACCCUUAUCUUUACUAUCCAGCAUUUAGGGUGGGCACUCUAGAGAGACUGCCGGGGAUAACCCGGAGGAAGGCGGGGAUGACGUCAAAUCAUCAUGCCCCUUAUGCUUUGGUCUACACACGUGCUACAAGGGCGUUAUCAAAGGGAAGCGAAAUGGUGACAUGAAGCAAAUCCCAAAAAUAACAUGUCAUUUUGGACUGUAGUGUGCAACUUGCCCACAUGAAGCAGGAAUCGCUAGUAAUCGCGAAUCAGAAUGUCGCGGGGAAUACGUUCCCGGGUCUUGUACACGUCGCCCGUCACAUCAUGGGAGUUGGAAAUGCCAGAAGUCAGUGACCCAACCCUUAUCAGUGAAUAUGACGUCG
rnacentral:rRNA from 1 species